UACGUAGGGGGCAAGCGUUGUCCGGAAUUAUUGGGCGUAAAGAGCGUGUAGGCGGUCCGGUAAGUCGGCUGUGAAAGUCCAGGGCUCAACCCUGGGAUGCCGGUGGAAACUGUCGGGCUAGAGUCCGGAAGAGGCGAGUGGAAUUCCUGGUGUAGCGGUGAAAUGCGCAGAUAUCAGGAGGAACACCAAUGGCGAAGGCAGCUCGCUGGGACGGUACUGACGCUGAGACGCGAAAGCGUGGGGAGCAAACAGG
rnacentral:rRNA from 1 species